rnacentral:rRNA from 1 species
UGGGGAAUUGUUCGCAAUGGGCGCAAGCCUGACGACGCAACGCCGCGUGGGGGAUGAAGGUCUUCGGAUUGUAAACCCCUGUCGAGCGGGACGAAUAGCCCGUGACCUAAUACGUCGCGGGAAUGACGGUACCGCUAAAGGAAGCCACGGCUAACUCUGUGCCAGCAGCCGCGGUAAUACAGAGGUGGCAAGCGUUGUUCGGAAUUACUGGGCGUAAAGGGCGCGUAGGCGGCCUUCUAAGUCAGACGUGAAAUCCCCCGGCUUAACCUGGGAACUGCGUCUGAUGCUGGGAGGCUCGAGUGCGGGAGAGGGAUGCGGAAUUCCAGGUGUAGCGGUGAAAUGCGUAGAUAUCUGGAGGAACACCGGUGGCGAAGGCGGCAUCCAGGACCGACACUGACGCUGGGGCGCGAAAGCUAGGGUAGCAAACGGG